UGGGGAACUCCUUUUGAAGGUUGCCUUGCAUCUCUUACAGGAAACCUUUGCCACUCUUUCUAAGUUCACUUUCUCCACCCGUCCCUGCAGGCUUCUUAGUCAUCUACUUGGCAGCUGCUGGGUCUGGGUUACUCACAGGCUUGCCUAAUCACACCUGGAAGAAGGGAGCUUGAAGCACGUCCCGAGUGAGCGAUGGCGCCCACGGGCUAGCCCGCCCUGCCCCUGCCUCUGCCUGGCCGGCCCACCGCCUGAUGUCACCCCAUGUGCACCAGGCCAAUCAGCACCACGGGUACUUCAGCGGGUACCUGUGUGCAUUUAAAACGUGAUCUCCCUGCCUUCUGAAUUCUGGUCCAGCUUCACAUUCCUGCUUUUGUGCCUUCUCUGCCAUGGUGGACUUUAUCCCUCUGGAACUACAUCUGAGUAUCAGUUGCUGACUACAGGCUGUUCUAAGUAGACUGCGAGCCCUGGACUUGCUAUGGAUGUGAACCAGUCUGCUGAUGUGGACACCCCCUAUCUCUGCAACAGUGUCUGCUAACCAGAAGCCCCUGAUGGAUUCCCCAUUGCCUAAAUUCCUUUUUGCUUUUGACUAGCAUUUCAACCUUCUGGGGUCCCUAACUUCGUCCCAAAGUCAGCAGGAAGCAGUUUGGAAAAGAAUUUCGCCGUCCAUUUUCCCUGGUUAAAAUGCUAAGUCAAAAGGAACUCCCUUGCAUGGGGAUGCGAAACGACAGGGGAUGCUCACUGGAAGCCUUCAUCCUCAUGGGACAAGAUUCAGCCGCUGGCUCCCACUUCCCUGCCGCCGCGCAAGGCCGGCCCCCGCCGGAACGCUCCGUCCCAAGGUCAGCCAUCUGGACGCGGCAGAAGAUAAAGGCCGUUUCGCCUGACUACUAGACCUUGAGAAAAUGGUGAUUUGAUGCUUUUCGCUUCUGUA
rnacentral:lncRNA from 1 species